rnacentral:lncRNA from 1 species
CAACGGGAUAGCAGCUCUCUCCCUGCUGGGUGUGAUUUCAGACUCCGGAGCUUCCGUGCUUUUAAAAAUGAAACAACAACAACAACAAAAACCACACUCAUCCCUCUUCACACUGACAGGAAGUCUGUAUUGUACUGGAGUACAUUGUACGCAAAAGCCAAAAGGAGGGAUCUGUGUGGAGAUCCAGUGUGUCACGGGUAGUCGUCAGUCUCCUGAAAGGUGUGCUUCUUCACUAGCGUGCUCCAUAUGCCUUUCUGGGGAACUCUGAUUCUCUGUCUUGAACAUGAGUCUUCACCAUUCUGAGGAACUCAGCCACUGGAAUAUAAACGUAGACAUUCUGCAUGUGAGGCUCUGUGUUCAUGUAUCUAUUCUAAAUGGUUAGCACAAAAUAAAAUAUUGAAUCACAUGUCCCUAACAAAGGAAGAAGUCCAGUUCUCUUGUCUUCCUGAGGGUAUCCAUGACACCAGGAGGACUCCAGAAAGUAGCCCAUUCAGCUGCUUUGCAGGCUGCUGCGAUUCCCAUUC